rnacentral:rRNA from 1 species
AGUGAACGCUGGCGGCAGGCCUAAUACAUGCAAGUCGAACGGCAGCACAGCAGAGCUUGCUCUGUGGGUGGCGAGUGGCGGACGGGUGAGGAAUACAUGGGAAUCUGCCCAGUCGUGGGGAUAACGUAGGGAAACUUACGCUAAUACCGCAUGCGCCCUUCGGGGGAAAGCCGGGGACCUUCGGGCCUGGCGCGAUUGGAUGAGCCCAUGUCGGAUUAGCUAGUUGGCGGGGUAAUGGCCCACCAAGGCGACGAUCCGUAGAUGGUCUGAGAGGAUGAUCAGCCACACUGGAACUGAGACACGGUCCAGACUCCUACGGGAGGCAGCAGUAGGGAAUAUUGGGACAAUGGGCGCAAGCCUGAUCCAGCCAUGCCGCGUGAGUGAAGAAGGCCCUCGGGUUGUAAAGCUCUUUUGUCCGGAAAGAAAAGACGCCGGGUUAAUACCCUGGUGUCCUGACGGUACCGAAGAAUAAGCACCGGCUAACUUCGUGCCAGCAGCCG